UGUACAGUAGACGUAUAUACAUGCAGGAUGUUAAUAAUUUGUUUUGUGCUAGUCAAAUUGUUGAAACCCGGAGUUGGGCCGAGGAGCUGGCCUCCACUUGAGAGAAGCAACACCGGCGUUGGGCGUUCCGUGUGCAGAGUGCGCAAAUUAGUGAUUUUGUUGUCUCGUUUCCAACUCAUGAUGUGAUUUCUUCUUUAAGAUGAAUUAGUAACUUUGUGUGGAGGUGGCAGCACAACCUGCUGGUUGUUGUAAUGCCUACCUCAAAGAGAUUUAACUGCUUACAAAAUUAUUUUUCUACUUGGCUGUUUUGCAGAUGAUGAGGUAUGCCAUGGAAGGGUUGGCUUUUGAGUGGUAGGUGAUCCCUAUGCCGGCUGUGAUAGCGGCCAUCAUUGGUAUACAACAAUGCAGCGAUUGUCUCGGGUUGUUAUUGAGCUCCACGGCUGGCCUUAGAUUGUCUAUUCAGCAUCGGCACACUUUACUCAAAUCUAUACCAUAAGAACCUGUGCUCCAGUCUGACGAAGCAGCCAAGCUGUAUAUACACAUCUUUGCUUCCUGAUCCAUUUUGUUUGGCGAUUCAGGCCACCCCUGAUGGUCAGGCUGAUGCUUCUUCGCUUGAUUCUGAAGAAAAGGAUGAUCACAUUCAGAUCCCCAAGAACAAUAGGUGCUGCAGCUUCUCUUGUAUCUUUAUCUGUGUACUUUAAAUUCACAUGGACAGUCGAAUUGUCUGUAUAUACACACCUUGAAAUUAAGAAACUCUGGUGGUGCAAAGGGAGUUGGGACAGAGAAGAAAUUAAAGCAGUGACUGCUCUGCACUAGCUGUACAGGGAUCGAAAGCCUAUAGGCUAUUUUGUGUAUUAAUCUCUUCAUUUUUUUUCCUACUACACUUGCCUAAAUUGAGAUAAGCUGGCUCAAACUGCAAGCGGUAUUCUUUGAAGGUCUGCCUACAUCUACACGUUGCACAAAAGAUUGGAUCUUUGUAGUGCGUCUGCUCAUCAGUAGAGAUUACAUAGUAGGUAGUAGGAACACCAUAAUAUACUAUCUUCUUAAUUUAGUAUUUUCUUUUAGAACAUAUAAGUACAUUCAGUAAUAUGUGUCUUGUUUUACUUUGUCUGCGGUGACUGGAAGUAUUCUCGGCUUUACCGUCAGUAAAAAGAAGGCAUACAAAAAAUUAAGUUUUUCCUUAGUUGCCUCAUUUAAUUGUCGCUUAUUUAUUUCAAGUUAUUCAAUUCUCGUGGAGCUUUCCUUUGCUAAAGAAGAAAAGAGGGGUUGUCAGGUCAGACUUUGGUGCGUCUCUGACUAGAGAUAGCUGGA